UGUGGCACAAUGUUUGAGUUCAAAACUUGCAACCUGUUGGUUGCAGGUUCAAAACUUGGAAACAGCCUCUCCCCUGAAGCAGAGGGUAAGGCUACAUACAUUUGCCCCUCCCAGACCCUGCAGUAGCGGGAGCCUUGUGCACUGGGAUGCUC